rnacentral:rRNA from 1 species
UACGGGGGGAGCAAGCGUUGUCGGAUUUACUGGGCGUAAAGGGCGCGUAGGCGGUCAGCACAAGUCAGUUGUGAAAUCUCCGGGCUUAACUCGGAAAGGUCAACUGAUACUGUGCGACUAGAGUGCAGAAGGGGGCAACUGGAAUUCUCGGUGUAGCGGUGAAAUGCGUAGAUAUCGAGAGGAACACCUGCGGCGAAGGCGGGUUGCUGGGCUGACACUGACGCUGAUGCGCGAAAGCCAGGGGGAGCGAACGGG